CGAAGGGGGCGAGCGUUGUUCGGAAUUACUGGGCUUAAAGCGUGCGUAGGCGGAUCAGCAAGUUGGGAGUGAAAUCCCCGGGCUUAACCCGGGAAUUGCUUUCAAAACUGCUAGUCUAGAAUCCGGUAGAGGUUAAUGGAAUAUCCAGUGUAGGGGUGAAAUUCGCAGAUAUUGGAUGGAACACCAGUGGCGAAGGCGAUUAACUGGGCCGGUAUUGACGCUGAGGUACGAAAGCGUGGGUAGCAAACAGGAUUAGAUACCCUGGUAGUCCACGCUGUAAACUAUGUGUGCUAGCUGUCGGAGUCCUUAGGGCUUCGGCGACGGAGAGAAAUCAUUAAGCACACCGCCUGGGGAGUACGGCCGCAAGGUUA
rnacentral:rRNA from 1 species